rnacentral:rRNA from 1 species
CACGUAGGCACCAAGCGUUGUCCGGAUUUAUUGGGCGUAAAGAGCUCGUAGGCGGUUCGGUAAGUCGGGUGUGAAAACUUUGGGCUCAACCCAAAGCCUGCACUCGAUACUGCUGUGACUUGAGUCCGGUAGGGGAGUGGGGAAUUCCUGGUGUAGCGGUGGAAUGCGCAGAUAUCAGGAGGAACACCGGUGGCGAAGGCGCCACUCUGGGCCGGUACUGACGCUGAAAUACGAAAGCGUGGGGAGCAAACAGG